AGUGAACGCUGGCGGUAGGCCUAACACAUGCAAGUCGAACGGCAGCACAGUAAGAGCUUGCUCUUACGGGUGGCGAGUGGCGGAAGGGUGAGGAAUACAUCGGAAUCUACUUUUUCGUGGGGGAUAACGUAGGGAAACUUACGCUAAUACCGCAUACGACCUACGGGUGAAAGCAGGGGAUCUUCGUACCUUGCGCGAUUGAAUGAGCCGAUGUCGGAUUUGCUAGUUGGCGGGGUCACGGCCCACCAAGGCGACGGUCCGGAGCUGGUCUGAGAGGAUGAGCAGGCACACUGGAACUGAGACACGGUCCAGACUGCUACGGGAGGCAGCAGUGGGGAAUAUGGGACAAUGGGGGCAAGACUGAUCGAGCCAUAGCGCGUGGGUGAAGAAGGCCUUCUGGUUGUAAAGCCCUUUUGUUGGGAAAGAAAAGCAGCAGGUGAAUACCCCGCUGUUCUGACGGUACCCAAAGAAGAAGCAACGGCUAACUUCGUG
rnacentral:rRNA from 1 species